CCUACGGGAGGCAGCAGUGAGGCAUAUUGGUCAAUGGUCGGGAGACUGAACCAGCCAAGCCGCGUGAGGGAUGAAGGUACAGAGUAUCGUAAACCUCUUUUGUCAGGGAACAAAGGCGGGGACGUGUCCCCGGAUGAGUGUACCUGAAGAAAAAGCAUCGGCUAACUCCGUGCCAGCAGCCGCGGUAAUACGGAGGAUGCGAGCGUUAUCCGGAUUUAUUGGGUUUAAAGGGUGCGCAGGCGGUCUGUUAAGUCAGCGGUAAAAGCCCGGGGCGCAACCCCGGCCCGCCGUUGAAACUGGCAGUCUCGAGUUGGAGAGAAGUAUGCGGAAUGCGCGGUGUAGCGGUGAAAUGCAUAGAUAUCGCGCAGAACUCCGAUUGCGAAGGCAGCAUGCCGGCUCCACACUGACGCUGAGGCACGAAAGCGUGGGUAUCGAACAGGAUUAGAUACCCUGGUAGUC
rnacentral:rRNA from 1 species